rnacentral:lncRNA from 1 species
UGAGACCUUUCAAUCUUUUUCUAUAACCAUGCUCAAAAUUUAGAAAUACGGAGUUAAGGUUGAAUUCUAGAGAGAGAAAGUAAGAGUAAGAGAGAGAAAGAGAGGUUUAAGGGAGGUUUUUAGUUUAGGUCUACCAACUGGUUGUUAGAGAUUAUACUCCUUAACCAAACAUCGUCGUCAACAGCUCGUUUUCUAGAGAGAGAAACAUAUACUUUUAGAGAGAGAAACAUAUAGUUUUAGAGAGAGAAAGUGGUGAAAGAAAGAAGAAGGAAGAAAGGGAAAUCCAUCAAAGAAAAGAUCAGAUAAUAGCUCAGCAGCUUAAACACAUACACACACAGUGACACACAUAUGUGUAUAUGUAUAUAGAUAUAGAGAGAUAAAUUUUCUUGAAAGUGGAUUAUAGUUCUUUUUUUUUUUGGCUUUCUGCGACAUUUUUUCUGGGAUUUUCAUAUAGAUAAUCACAGAAAGACAAAAGAAAACCAUAUAUAUACAUACAUACAUAUAAGAAGAGAGAGAGUAUGUGGGGGGUUUUCACGUGGGAAUUGAUGGAAGAAUGGAAAGAUUUUAAAAGAAAGUUAUGAUUUUGAUGUAUCGAUUGAUUGAUGAGUGAUCAUAAAACACCAUCAUCAUCAUCUAUCAUCAUCAUCAUCAUCAUAAACAUCAAAACUCUCACCUUGUUUCAUUAAAAUCUCAGAACUGAAUUCAACCAGUUUUUUCUCUUUCUCUCUCUCUCUCUCUACCCUUCAAUGCUGAGUACUUGUGUUUUCUGAAUUCCGGGCAGUUCGGGCAGAGUCGUAUUAAUUGAUUGUGAUUCUGAAUUUGGAGACCCCAUGUGUACAUCUGGUCUUGGGAUCAUCAUCAUCAACAUCGGUGUACAUGAAUUCAUGGAAAUUGCAUCACAAAAUUGAAGCUUACUUGUUCCCCACAACCACACACCCAUGACUUAAUUUCAGGUAUUUUUUUCUUUUUUUAAAUUCAUAUAUUCCUAAUCUGUUGACUUUUUUUGCUUCCAAUAUCUAUCUCAUCAUCAAGAACACAUUUUUUUUUCUUAUAUGGGUUUUCUUGAUUAAUUUCCAUUAACCCUUUUUGAUCUUUAUUCUGUUGAUCAUAUUUUUCAAAGAUUCAUACAAUUGAGUGGAUUAUAUGGGUGUUUACUUGUUUUGUUCAUCUUGAAAUUGAUCAAAUAAAAAUGGGUUUGUUUCUUUAAUUAGUUUCCAUACAAAAUGUUAAUUUGAUGAUGAAUUGAGGGUAUUUUGGGAAUAUAUAUAUUGAAAAAGAGUUGUCUACAAAUUUACCUUGUUUGAUAGCAGCAAAACAAACAGGGAAUAUCUCUACUACUACGCGUAUCAUGUGAGGGUUGCGUACACAAACAAACAUCAAAGUACUUUCUUUGUGUUGCUUUUAUGCUUAUGUCCUUCUCCAACCAUUAAUACUCCCUCCAUCUUCUAUCUUCUCAUUUCAUUGUAUGUUUGUUUCAUAAAGAUUCAAUCUUUGUUACCAUUUUAAUGAUUUCACUUUGAUUUUCUGCUUUUUGAUGAGCCAUUAUAUUUCAUUUUUCAAUUUUCACCUUGCUAGAUUGAACUACUUGGUAAAAAAAACGUUGAAAAAAUAUACUAGUAGUUUUCUUUUGUCAAGGUUAAAUAAAUCAAUCCCUGUUACCAUUUGAAUGAUUUAUAGUACAUUAUCAUGUUUUUGUGUUAUUCACAAAAAAUGAUUUUUUAUGUAAAUGUUAAGCAUCAUGAUUCAAAUUUUCAAUCGCUAAUGUAAGUUUAUCAAAAGAAAUCCUUUUUAUGGUCUUUUCUAUUUUAGGGGCAUGUUCGGAGGCUUCUACUUUUUUACUUUUAACAAAAAGUUCGAUUCAAACAAAAAGCUUCAUUUAUUGGUACGAGCAUUUAAUUUCUAGUUUAAACAAAAAACUUCAAAUCUAAAAGCUACUCCAUGCAACGUUUAAGAAAAAACUAUUGAGCUUUUUAUAUCAAUUUCCAUAAUUGCCCUUGACAUAUAUUUAUAUAUUUAUCUUUUUUAAACAAUUGUCCUUCUAUGUAAUUUUACAUAUUUUAAAAAUUUAUAACUAUGUCAAACACUCGGUUAGUUUUGUCAAACUCGUCGAAGUUCAUUAGUUUCUAAAUUUCAAUCAUACGUAGAAAUGUCAUAUAUUAAAUUCUCUCUCGUAAAGAUUCUAACUUUUAUACAGAAUAUCUUGUGUUACUUUAUAUAUUGACUUUUCAAAGUAUCUUGUUUUAUUUUUUGUUGCAACAAGCUCCAAAAAUAUGAAAAUUAGACUUUAAAAAAGCAAAUAUACGAAAUUGUCAACUACAAUGACUUUUAUGCAUUAUUGUGAUAAUUCGUCCAAAAUUUUACAUUUUUGCGAUUUGUAUUAUUUUAGCAUUUUUACAAUAAUUCGAAAAAAAAAAUUAAGGAUUCGAAAGCUGUUACAUCUUUUAACGAGUCAAUUCUAUGUAGAAAUAGUUAAUUUUCUUGAAAUAUCCAUAAAAAUUAAAUUAAUUUUUACAUUCAAUGGUUUUAUUUCUUGCAGAAAAUUUAUUACAAAUAUUUGAAGAAAUGUCAACUUACAUACCAAGUUCAGAAAAUGCAAGAGAUUCCGCUCCAAUGCUCUACUUAAGAGAGCCUCUACAGGAUUCUUACCCAUCGGAAACACCAAUUCUAGCCGGAAAUGUGAUGAUGUACAUGAACUUUUCAUCAGCUUCCACCGGAGGCGGAGAGUUUUCCGGUACUCUGGCCGGAGCUUCCCAGCAGCCCAACAGCUGUACCGACAUUCCUAACAUCGGAGUCCAUGAUUCCAAUGUUGUCUCACAUCAAGAAUUCCUCUCAAGCAUGGGGGAAUCAUGGAGAGACGGUAGGAAUCACGAAAUGAUGUUAAUGGAUCAAAUGGGAAGUCGGAAUUUGCAACAAGGGCAAGGACAGGGACUGUCACUGAGUCUCAGUUCGCAUAUUCAACCAACCGGAAUCCAAUUCCAUUCCGGUGAUUACAGGAACCCAAACAUAUUCUUCCGGCCGGAAUCCAGUUCCGUAAUAACCGGUUUUCACGGAAACAAUUUAGACUCGAUCAAAACAGACGUUUCUCCGUACGGAAUCGGAAAUGUUUCGAGGGGAAUCACUGAUUCCAAGUACCUAAAAUCCGCACAAGAAUUGCUCAAUGAGAUCGUUAACGUCGGAAAAGCUCUAAAACAACAAAACUCACGAAAGGAAUCCACCGAUGACUCGAAAGGAAUCGAUGAUGAAUCGAAGAACAUUAUUUCUCCAAAUCAAGAAUUAAACGAACUCUCAGCUAAUGAAAAACAAGAUUUGCAAAAUAAAACAACAAAAUUAAUCGCGAUGUUGGAUGAGGUUGAUAGAAGGUACAAGCAAUACUAUCAUCAAAUGCAGAUCGUUGUAUCUGCAUUUGAUGUGAUUGCUGGAUGUGGGGCCGCUAGGCCCUACACAUCACUUGCUUUGCAGACAAUUUCGCGCCAUUUUCGUUGUUUGCGAGACGCGAUAAAUAACCAAAUAAAAGCGGCUCAAAGAAGCCUCGGGGAGACUGAUUCCGCCGGAAACGGGAAAGGAAUUGGGAUUUCCAGACUUCGGUUUGUGGAUCAACAACUUAGGCAACAACGAGCUCUUCAACAGCUUGGAAUGAUACAACAACAUACUUGGAGACCACAACGAGGCCUUCCGGAAACUUCUGUGUCGGUUCUUCGUGCUUGGUUGUUUGAGCAUUUUCUUCAUCCGUAAUCACUGAUUCCCAUCAUUUUUAUACUACUUUUUUUUUGU